ACACUCCUGCGGGAGGCAGCAGUAGGGAAUCUUCGGCAAUGGGGGCAACCCUGACCGAGCAACGCCGCGUGAGUGAAGAAGGUUUUCGGAUCGUAAAGCUCUGUUGUAAGUCAAGAACGAGUGUGAGAGUGGAAAGUUCACACUGUGACGGUAGCUUACCAGAAAGGGACGGCUAACUACGUGCCAGCAGCCGCGGUAAUACGUAGGUCCCGAGCGUUGUCCGGAUUUAUUGGGCGUAAAGCGAGCGCAGGCGGUUUGAUAAGUCUGAAGUUAAAGGCUGUGGCUCAACCAUAGUUCGCUUUGGAAACUGUCAAACUUGAGUGCAGAAGGGGAGAGUGGAAUUCCAUGUGUAGCGGUGAAAUGCGUAGAUAUAUGGAGGAACACCGGUGGCGAAAGCGGCUCUCUGGUCUGUAACUGACGCUGAGGCUCGAAAGCGUGGGGAGCGAACAGGAUUAGAAACCCUUGUAGUCCCA
rnacentral:rRNA from 1 species